GCCAGGUGUGGUGGCACACACCUGUACUCCCAGCUACUCAGGAGGCUGAGGUAAGAGGAUCUCUUUAGCCCAGGAGGUUGAGGCUGCAGUGAGCCAUGAUUGAGCCACUGCACUCUAGCCUGGGCGACACAGUGAGACCCUGUCUUUA
rfam:Pan troglodytes isolate Yerkes chimp pedigree #C0471 (Clint) chromosome 5, whole genome shotgun sequence.